rnacentral:misc_RNA from 1 species
GCAGAAAAAUGAAAAUGGCUGAGUUUGUGUGAAGAAACUUUACUGCAUUAGAAAAAUUUCCACAAAUAUUUGGAGAAAACUGGUGUAAAAAUACUAAAUUAUAAAAAAAAUUAUUUUAUCACUCCAAAUGCGCAUUGUGAAAUUAAAAAGUGUUAAAAUUUAAACAUACAACAAUAGAAAAUAGCGUUUGAAAAAGUGCAUAUUUUUCUCGCUUAGAACAAGAUAAAUUGCAAAGAUAGAAUUUACGUAUACAGAGGCCAUAGCCAUCAACUCAGUGAAAAAAGUAUUACUCAAUAGAGGUUUAAUUUAUUAAUGGAACUAUAAUUUGAAUACAUUAUCAAACUUUUAAUUGAGUUUUGUAAUAUAAAAUUACAUUUGUGAAGUACUAUCAAAAUAGAAAAGGGACAAAUAUUAUUUAGCCCUAUUCGUGUAACGCAUACACAAGAUUAAAAAACUAAAUAGCUCAAACGAAAAAGGGCAUACCUAUGUAGUUUGCUAAUUUAAUAUCUAUGUACAUACCAUUGUAUUGUAUAUUGCAAUAAUUUAGAAUGGCCGCCGAUUCUGGUGAUAGUGAUAUUGAGCCACGUCCUUCGUGUAGCCAAAAUCGACGUGUAACUCGAGGAAAUACCAAUCAUGGUGGUGGUAAUUGUACUGAAACUAGGAAAGGUAGAAAACGUCGCAUCGUCAUGCGCAUCGAAUUUGAUGACAGUGGUGAAGAUAGUUCUUCGGCUUCAGAAAUGUCGGGCGGAGAUGGUCAAGUAGAAAACGGUAAUAAUAGUCAGCCACAAUCAUUCUCUACUAUACCGCGAAAAACUCGCCAAAAUAGUAAGCCUCUUGGAGGAAAAAUUCCCAUCAAAAAUGAUGGUUCCGAUGAUUCGGAUAACAUUCGUAGAAACAAUACGCAGCGUCUUCGGAAAAGGCGUACAAAUAUGCUUAACAUGGAUGGAAGCGAUUCGGAUGAGUCUUCAAGUGGUAGUGAGAUAAAUCACUCGGUAAAAACGCGUACGGCAAAAUCGUCAAAGAAAAUUAUUAUCUCGGAAGAUGAACAAAUGCAUUCUUCGGAAGAGAAUCAAAGCAACAACAAACAAACCGAAAUCGCCACCGAGGCUGGUUUCAAUUCGGACAGUAGCAGCAACGAGCUGCUCGAGAAAUGCCCAAUUUGUCUCUUGACUUUUCGACAACAAGAAAUCGGUUCGCCGGCAACAUGUGCACACAUUUUUUGCUCCAGCUGCAUCGAGGCUUGGUCCAAGAAUGUGCAGACAUGUCCUAUUGAUCGUAUCGAAUUCGAUCGCAUUGUCGUGCGGGAUAAUUUUGAAAAUCGUAGAAUCGUGCGCGAGAUUAACGUAGAUCCGAAUAAGAUUAGUAAAGAGCUGGUAUUGGAUAAUGAAGCGGAUGGUGUCGAUGAAGAUGUGACUUAUUGUGAGAUCUGCAAUAGUCCAGAACGAGAAGACGUAAUGCUCUUGUGUGAUGAAUGCAAUCAAGGCUAUCAUAUGGAUUGUCUUACACCACGUCUAACGCAAAUUCCAGAAGGAUCAUGGUAUUGCGACAACUGUUUCGAUCCAUCGGCUGAAAGUGACAAUGUGUCAGAAGAUUUAAAUUUGCUUUACGAAGAUAUACGCGACAUGGGCAUACCGCAAGCGGCGCUACGCGUAACUGAAUUGCAGCAGCCGCGCAUAUUGCGCACGCGUCAAAAUGAACGUAUACGUGCGGCCGUUUUACGCACAACACGCAGUCGGGCGCGCAUCGAAACAACCACAACAACUACAACAAGCGCAGGUACAAGUCGCGGUCGUGGCAGGCCUCGUAACAGUACAACCACCACUACUACGACCACAACCACACGCACCACAAGACCAUCAACUACACGACGAAAGCCGAGUAGGCGUCGUCGACGUCGGACGCGCAAGCGUACAUAUGUUGUGGAAUAUGAUUUGAAUAAUUUCGAUGAGAAGUUCGCAAUUAAAACGACAAAGAAAAUUAUUAGAAGACGUCGACGCAAGCGCAGAGCAUCAGCACGCAAUACUGCGCGAUCCAAUACUGGCGGACGUAUGACGGCUAGCAAGCGCUUGGCAGAACAAAUGGGUGUUAAGAAAGAUCCCACAUACACUUCUCACCUGUCUGGCACGUCAGCUGGACUAUCACUGUUUGGCGGUGCCAAUGAUUUGGAGUACUUUUCGGAUAGCGAUAAUGGUGGUAUUGAACAUGAAAUUCAAGUAGAGACAGGACAUGGCACCGCCCUACAAACCUCCAUACGCAUAUCGAACUUUGGCUCGCAACGAGCACGCAAAGGUAUUCUCUUAGGCCGACUACAAGGCAAUAAUAGACGUAAUGUUCUCCCAGAUUUACCAGCACAAACUGUAACACCCACUAGUGGUGAUCUGUUAUCCAGCAUUAUGAACAUGCAAGAUCGUUGGCAUAAUGCAGCCAGGAACAUGGAAAAUGUGCAUAUUAGCGCUGACGGUACUUUGCAACUGCCCAGUAGUGGUAUUAACAUGAACGGUAGCAAUAGUUCUACUGCCAAUGGGGACUCAAAUCAGCGACAAACACCACGUAACUCAGUCAGUGCCAAUGAGCAACAAUCACGCACCUCUAUCAACCCACUUGAGGGGGUCACACAAGCGCCGAUGUAUCCGCGUGGUGGUGGCGGAAACCAAAACUUCGGUGGCGGCAAUAGUGGUGGCGGUGGUGGUAACUACAAUAAUCGAUACGGUAACAAUCAAAACAAUUAUCGUGGUAGUGGCGGUGUAGGUCAAUAUAGACACUCUAUGGGUGGUAGUGCUGGUGGCGACGGAAACGAUGGCGGCCGUGGAAAUUUCAAUUUUAGUAAUCAAAAUUUGAACAACAGCAACAAUCCGAAUCAGAACUCAAAUUUUUCACCUUUCUCGAUGCGCUUCAAUCAACGUAAUAAUCAGCGCAACAAUAAUCAACGAAACUCUUUGCCAUUUAUGCAUCGUAACGAUGACGAUCGGCAACAGCACCAACAACAAAACCAAACACAAAAUACCCCGAAUGAAGGUAAUAAUCCUUUUAGGACUGGACUGCCACCACCUCAGCAACAGAAUAUGUCAAAUGAAAAUCAGCUCUUUGGUGAUCUACCACCACCAGUAAGAUCUGCACCAUUAAUGUCUGAUGUGCCACUGGGUAUGGCUGGCCCACCACCUGUGUCUGGACUACCGCCGAUGGCAGGUCCACCGCCUAUGACAGGACCACCUCCCAUUAUGGGAACGUUACCAAUGACGAGACCGCCACCACCAGCAAUGGCUAUGGGUGGUCCACCGCCAUCACUAGCAAUGCAUUCGCCAAUGCAAACAAUGCGACCGCUAAUGACUGUGCCACCACCACCUGCGCCACCUCCGGGUGUGCCAAUGCCUUGGGCCACACCACUCUUUCAACAAUUGAAUAACGAUUAUGGAAAUGACGAUGAUGACUCUAAUUGUCCGAACUUUUCCGUAUACUCAGCCGAAUCCCAAGAAGUUGCCAAAUCAGCAGAAAUGCAAUCACAAACUCAGCAGAACAACGAAGCAGCUAAGGAAGACGAUGAAAAUGAAGAUUUAGUACAAUUAGAUGAUGAUGAUGAAAUACCAAUGCCACCAGAAACUAAUCCAAAUGAAUCUACAACUACAGUCAAAGAUUCUGAUUUAUAUGAGCCAGAAAAUCCUACAGAAGAAAACGAGGACGACGACAUCGCCGAUCGCGACGAUGGCGACGAUGGCGACGACGAAGAACUUAAAAAACAAGUUAACAUUAACGACAAUGAAAAGGAUGAAGUUGAUAAGACAAAUGAAAACCACGAAAAUGUGGAAGAAAUUGCUUCACCACGUCCUAGUCCGCGCGAAAGCGUGGAUAAUUGCGACUCACAAUAUGAUCCGGAACAUGAAAUCAUAUCCAACGAGGGUUCUAAUAUGGCGGUGGAGGAUAAUAAAACAGAAAAGUUGGACGAUUGUAAUAAAAGUAAUAAUGAAACGUUGGAAAAGGAGCACGAACCUAGGGACGGUCAGAGCGAUCACUCACGUUCGCCCAGUCCAGCAGAAUCCGAGAUGAAAUUGCCUGAAAAUGAUGUAGGCAUUGCAAAUAAGAAGGGCGUAUUGGAAUUGUACGAUGAUAGUGAUUGGGAAGAACUAGAUAUUGAUAAGCCAAAAGAAUAUGAGAAAGCAGCAAAACAGUCAGAAAAAUCGUACAUAGAAGAUGGUCAGUGUGAGGAGGAGGAUGAGACAACUUCAGACAAACUUAAGGAACGCAGCAAAAGGAAUAAUAAGAGUAAGGGUAAAGAAACAGAUGAUAAAAACGAAGGCGAACUUGAUCGAUCUUAUACACCUUGUCUGGAUGAGAACAAUGAGCCAGAAGAAGGUCAUGAAAAUGAAAAAUUCGUUGAGACGGGCGCAAAGUUGCUAAAUGCCUCCAAGGAUUCGAAUGAACAGGACACGGAAGGCGGUAAAACACCCGAAGUAGUUGCCAGUGCAGCGGUCGCCAUUGAAACUGAACUAAUUUCGGACGAUGAUGAGAAUGCACGUGGCUCGAGAAAGCGAAGAAGUAGCAAAAAACGUGAUAAACGUGACAAAAAAGUUGAAACAUUCAAAAAAGUAAGCAACAAACAAAAAGUACGCAAUUAUCGCACCGACAAGCAACAAGUAGGUAAAUAUAAAGUGCGACAUCAAUCGUCAAAAUCACGUUCUCGUUCUAAAUCUAUAUCAAGAAGUCGUUCACGCACGCGGAGUCGUAGUCAUAGCCGCAUACGCAGUCGUUCGCGAUCACCACGAGUCGCCGUAAAUCGCUCUCGUUCACCCCAUUCAGGCAGAUCACGUUCUCGAUCGCCACGUGGUCGUGGCCGUAGGCGUUCCCGCUCUCGUUCAUUACGUUCACGCAGUCGAUCCAACAACAAGGAGAACAACUGGCGACAUGGUGGUCGCUACAAUAAUAACCAGCAUAGAUUUCAAGAUCGAAAAAAGCAACAAAAUCAAUAUCGUCCCAAACGUAGAGAAAUUCCACGCUAUAAUGUACGAAACGUUGUGGGCAUUCAACGUAGCUUUAGAGAGGGUAGAGAGGUCAGAGAUCGUUACGGACGCGAUACCAGUCGUCAAAUGCGUAAUAUUAGUAGGUCACCGAGUCCGCGCACUCGUAGAAUAAGUGGUAGGUCAAUCUCUAGGUCACGCUCUCGUGGGCGUUCAAUGUCACCACGACGAAAUCGACGCGGCAGCUUUAGCAUAUCCCCAAGCCCGCAACCUAUGAUGCGUCGACAGUCAGUUUCUCCCAGACAACGUUACCGUUCACCCCGUCGAAACUCUCUCUCUCCUCGCAGAAUUACGCCGAUGCGAGGCCACUCUCGAAGUCCACUGCGCAUACACUCACGUUCGCUUACCCCACAACGUAUGGGCGGUAGAAAGGUUAUAAGACGUGUACGUGACGGUUCCCCGCUGGCACAAUCAGCCAUCUCACGUUCACCGUCCCCUUUGCAUUCACUUUCUCCAUCACCCAGAUAUACGCCACGGUUGCAUAGAAGUCACUCAAAAACACCGAUUUUACGUAUAACCAAGGGUAAAAAGAAAAAGAUAAAGGAUAAAGGUAAGAAGAAGAAAAAGAAGCACCUUCCAAGCCUUAGUCCAGAGGCCAACUUACGGAUUUCACGUCAGCGUGACGCAUUUGAAGUGGAUCGACCGCCAAAGAAAAAACGUCACCAUUCACCAAAGCAAAAAGCGUCGCUGGAUGAGCCCACUUGGUCGCCCUCGCCUAGUCCGGGUCCUGUACUUGAUUACGAACGUGACAACAAUAUAUCAUGGACGCCACCAUUGGUAUCGCCACGUCUUGUUCACGAAAUGCACGGCAUCUAUGAGGCAGAAGCACGUCGCAGUAAUUCUCGGUCGAGCAAACGUGAUAAGCGAACAAAGCGCGUGAAAAAGAAGAAGAAGGGUGAGAAACGACGUGAUGUACGCAAAGAUAAACGACGCACACGACGCACCCAAACACCAGAAGUAGUACCAUCAAAGGAGGUAUUUGCCUCGGGUAACAAUAUUCUCGUAAGUGUGAGUUUUAAUAAAGAUGCAGUUGGAAAUCAACCGCCCUCACAGACAACCGUUGUUACAUUGCCAGCGACGCGCGAAGACUUACACACAAUUCGCCGAAAUUCUAUAGAUUGCAUUACCAAUUCGAAUGCUGCUAGUAAGAAAAAGAAGAAGCGUAAGAAGCUUGACGCAAAACCUGUUGCUAUUAUUGACCUGGAGCGAUCACCGUUCCAGGUGCAUCAGGAACCAGCCGAUGUUAUUGUGCUUACCGACAGCGAAGAAGGCGUUGGCGGUCGCGAUAGUGAACACGAGCAUGAGCACGAACAUGAACAUGAUAGACGACGCGAAAGUCAUCGCGAACGCCGCCGCAGCGAAUCAAUUGCGGAUGAAAUGGAUCAUCAUCGAUCACAAAUGAGCAAUGGCAUACGCUCCUCAUCACAGUUAGACAAAACGCCGCCAUUAGAGCGAGAACGCCUCGAUACCAUUUUAGAGGAAUCCUACGAUUUGCCACAAACUGGACCAAAGACACCACCAGAACCUCCAACUGUUAAAUUCAACAUAGCCGCUAAAAAGCAAAAUAAAGUCCGUAAUAACCCACUACAUGACGAUGCAGAACUAAAUUCUGAAUCGGAAAUGACCGAAGUACGUGAACCGGACACACAUCGUUCGGAGCUGGAACCAAUGCAUGUACAAAGUAGUCAAAAAAUUGGUCCAAAUACACCACCCGAAUCUGGUCCAUGCUCACCAGAUGCUUACGAUCCCUUCGAUCCUACGAAAUCGCCAUCUAUGUCUCCACGCUCACCCUCUCCCGCACCAUUGAACAGCUCGCAAGCUUCAAUUGGCAUGGAUAGUAGCGUUGAAGUGGUAUCCUCACAAAAGCACAUAGUAGACGAACAACGCCUAACAAAUGAGCGUACGGGUUCUCAAAUUUCUGGUGCCAGCGGUAGCAUGAUUCCACAAGGUUCCACACUUAAUCCCGUUGAACUGGUAAUGAAACUAAUGAAUACAAAACAGAAUAGCUCUCAAGAUCUGAACAAAUCGAAUGACUCGCAAUAUAAUACUGCGUCACACAUGCACGCCACUGUCAUGGGCAAUACGCACGAUGAUGGACUGAAUAUGCGUGACAAGAACGAUGAGGUGAUGGGCCUCUCUGUGAUAUCAAAUGUGCUCUUGUCAAACGGCAAUGCACAAGGCUCACAACAUAUACCAGUAAUUUCCAGUCCCACUCCAAUGAUAAAGAGCAAUCAAAUAUCAAAAUUACCGCUACCCAAAGUGGGCAGCAGUGUGGGUAGUAGCAGCGGCGCCGGAAUGACAUCAUCUAAUUCGAAUGCACGUAAUGGUGGCAUGGAUGAACCAGUAAAUCUCACCGAAAUGGAAAGUCCCUAUUCGCCCGGUUCCGCUGACUAUGAGGAUCUCUUCGAACCGCCACCAGACAGCUCGGGCGCUGUACCACGGCGCUCUAAGCGUACGAAUAACGCCAAUGCCAUGGGCAAAGUUGACGUUUUUGAUAAUCUCUUUGGCAGCACCUCACCUGUGGGCCAUGCACGUAUGCCGAAGAAAUUCAAGGCAAUUGUCACUAGUAGCACCAAGAAAGCUAAAAUUAAAGUCACUAAAACCGACGAUCACGUUAAAGUCUAUGAUGACGUACCAAACUCAGCCGUUGAAUUACAAGUCAAAGAUAAGUUUUUGCGUAAGCUGAAUCGACAGGAGCGUGUCGUUGAAGAAGUCAAAUUGGUUUUGAAGCCACGUUUCAAUAAGAAACAGAUCACUAAAGAUGACUACAAGGAGAUUAUGCGGCGAGCUGUGCCGAAGAUUUGUCACAGUCGUUCGGGCGAAAUUAAUCCUCAUAAGAUCAAGAAUCUAAUUGAUGCCUAUGUAAGGAAAUUCCGUGCAAAGCAUAAGAAGUUGAAUCUCCUCAAUACCGGGCAGGUCAGCAGUGCGGUGAAGUGCGCCGCCUAUUUGAAGAAGCUGUAAAGAGAAGCAGCGCGUAAACGUAUAAGCGGAAGUUGGCUAAACGAGUAACCAAGCAGCUAAUACACUUAAGUCUUAUGGCACAUUCAUUCAGUAAAACUUCUGCACACACUCUUGCCCACAUGGCAUGUAAGUAGCGACGCAUGGAAUGAAGUUUGCUGUUUAUUUAUUCGCAAUUCUAUUAUAUUAUAAUUAUGCACAUAUGCAUACAUACCUAAUUAAAGAUUUUUCCAAUUACAAUUCAAAACUAAAAAUUAAAAAAAAAAAUCUUUAAAACCUUACUAGUAAUCAUAGUGAAUAUAUCUGCAAAUAAAUUGUAUUGUAUACCUUUAAGGCCACUUGUGAAACACUCGCGCAUCAUACGUACGAUAUGUGUGUACUUGAUUUGCACAUACAUAGGGAUAUUGAUAUUCUUCAUACAUAUAUGUAUACCUACUUUACAUUUACGAAUACUUGUGUUAAAGCAUUAUUCUCUUAUCUUUAAUAAACUUCAAUAAUUGUAAUACUUUA